CUGCUAUACAACAGCAUUAAAUGGAGAAAAACGCUAAAGCAGAAGUGUUUCUACUCUCUGAACAGAAACACAACAGAGCGCCAGAGCCACAGAGGAGUUGAUGAAAUAGAAAAAGCAGAAAUUACAUCUACAUUUCUAGGCUUUCAUAGCUUUUUCAAGCAGAAGUACUGAAUUACGAGUACGAGUGGACUCUGGAAGUGGAUAUAGUCUGCUGUACACUGAAACCCAAAUUUUCAAAAAUGGCCUGGGAUUCAAAAACAAUACAGAAACUUGUUAUUGCCAAGGUGCUGUUAAAAGAAAAAGGGAACCAGCAAUAAAAUGGAUAAAACUUUGCAGAAAAAGCAGCGGUGAGGACUUUGCUGAUGUAAUGAGAUCUUGCUUGCUUGAGUUCAGUAUUCAUAACAAAUCUGUAAAAAUGUAUUCCUUUUUCUUCAUAAAAUAUGCUGAGCCCAUGUGGAACUUCUGAGAAACAAAAGGACGAGUGCUUCUGCUCUGAAACCCAUGCAUCUGCCACUUGGCAUAAGCAAAAAAUCUUCAUUAAGCUUUUGGAUGAGACGACAUCUAACCAGUAAUUUACCAAAGGGAAAACUCAUGCCAAGGUCAGCGCUACAUUUAUUGAGGUCUCACAUUUUCUGCAAGUAGCCUGUGGAAUUCAAUAUACAUGACCUUUUAUAGCAUUGCAUCACUGUGUAGUAUCACAACAUGAAGAAGAAAAUAUUCAAGCUAUAAAUUAGAUAGACCUCCUUCAUGGAAACGCCAUUCUUAACAUUACAUCUGGAAGCUAUUAAAUUUAUUUCAGACACAAAACCAGGCUUAUGAAAUACAGAAACCCUGUUUUGAUAAAGACGCAUCAGAGAUUGCCAUAUUAGAAACUUAAAGCCACUGUCUAGAGUUAAAGGAUUGACAAUUUGAGAGGUACAACAGGAUUUUAUUUUCUGUAUAAUGCUGGUGAAGUGCUGGUGUGUGUAAGAGUAUGCGCUUUGUGUCACUAGAAUCAGAAAUCCGUAUUUCUGAUGGGCAGUAAUUACUCUUUUAUCAUUCAGGGAUGGGCUUUUAGGACAAGAACAUAUGUGUCCUUUAUCACAGUCACCAAGUAAAAUUAAUAAAUAAUCUGUAGUAUGGCUCACAGCUAUGAAGUGAGGGAUCAACAGCAGCACAUUUUCCAAUUGCUAAGUAUUACAUACAUACAUAUGUCAUAUGUUUAUGCAUGUGUAUAUGAUGGCCCUGUUCUUUCAGUAUGUAAACUCUAAAUGAAUUCUGAAUUUAUGCUAAAUAAAAAUCAGACA